rnacentral:lncRNA from 10 species
CCUAAUGAAGCUGCCUGCCAUCUCUUCGUUUACUUGCUUCCUUGAAGAACACUGAUAAUGUAGAAAUAAACUGUUUCCAGUCCCCUGGACACCCGCAGUAUUCAGAAGAGUAGCUGAAGGUGCUGCAAAGUUAUUCAUCUCAGAGGGAUGCUGACCCAGGUGAAAACAAAAGGAGAAGAUGGCCAUCUGCAAACCAGAUCCAGACACCGGAUCUGCUAGCACCUAGAUCUUGGACUUCCCAGUCUCUAGGACUGUGAGAAAUAUAUGUUUGUUGUUUAAGCCACCCAUUCUAUGGUAUUUUUAUUAAAGCAGCCCAAACUGACUAAGAUAUCCAGUCUGUGCAAGUGAAAAAUCUCUUCUCCUUACCUUAUAUGAAAAAUGAAAUGCCAUGGAUUAGUGAGUUAGUUCAACUACUCAGAUUACCUGAAUUUUUCAUGUUCCAAGACUUGUAGAUUACAUCUAGAGACAGAGACAGCAUUACUGGAAUUUGUACACCACAGGUACAAUGUGAACUCUGGACUUGAGAAAUU